UUUUUUUGUUAUGAUCUAAUGACGUUCAUUACACAAUGUUUGUAAAAUUGAAUCAGAAGAUUCAAUCAAACGGUUCACAGGUGUAGAUGGAUAUAGUUUAAGCCAAGAUGGCAAUCACUAAUGAUCCUUCCGCAGGUUCACCUACGGAAA
rnacentral:misc_RNA from 1 species